rnacentral:hammerhead_ribozyme from 1 species
AUCCAGUUGACGAGUCCCAAAUAGGACGAAACGCGCGUGCAACUGGAU